ensembl:lncRNA
CGUGGAGCAGCCAAUAGUUCCAAACACUGAUAGUUCCAGCGCUGAACUUCACACAUUUUCAAUGUUUCUGAAGUACGCUCGCUGGAGGUGAAAAACAAGUCUAAACCAAGACUUAAACUUAGAUAAAGUAAUUGUCAGUAAUUUAAGUUCCAGCUGUCGAACAGGUGGGAUUUAAUUUGCAAAGCCAUACACUGUAAGCCAUCACUGUAUGUGUGUGUUGUUUUGUUUGUUUUCAACAGGAUGGAUUAUCGGUGGGGAGUGGAGCAGUGGCCAGGCUGGGGGAGCUUGUGGUUCCUGUAAGCAAUGGAGUGAUGAUGAAGCUGGUUUAAAUUUGAACAGUGGGGUGCUGAAGCUGGUGGGGUGAUGGUGAGGCUGUAAGUGUAAGAUAGAAGAUAAUAUUGUCUAUAAUUAGUCAGAAAAUUAUUGUCAACUGCAAGAGUUACCACAAACAAGUCACAUCUUUCUCAAAAUUAAGCAGAUAUGUUGGACUAAUAUAUGAAUAACACAUACAAUCAAUAAAACUUGUAUAAACAUAAGACAAGAGACCAGAAAACAGGCAAAAUAGACCCUCCAUACCCAUUGAUGCUGAAGACUUGCUGGGUGGUGGGACAUUUGUAGGAGCAAAGGUCAGGCCAAACUCCUCCAUGGCAACAAGCAAGGUUUGUGGUGGGGGCCUGCUUGUUGUAGGUUUGGAUCUUUAUUGUCUUUACUGGUUCAUUUUUGACCUUUUUGUCUGGCUUUUGCUUCCAAGAUGACCAUCAUCAGACAGCUUUUUUUCUAUUAGCACAGAUCUGCUUUGCUGCAAUUCUUAAACUCAGCAUGAUGUAUGUGUUUUUGCAGAUCAUGGCAUGAAGGAAGCCUGCUGUCCAAGAGCCUACCCUCUCUCUCCAGCAUAUCCAUGGCAUUUGGAUCCAUAAAGGAGCCACUGGUCCUAGUUCGGAACAGCUCCUCAAUUUGCCGGACUAAAUCGAAGGCCUCUUGUGACGGCCGACAAAGUACACCUGGCUUGAACUCUUUCAGCUUCAGUAAAACACUGUGAUUUCCUUCAGGACUGUCAUCAUUGUGCUUAAUUGCACUUUGGCAACCCUCACAAAUCUUGGAAUAUUUAAUCACUUAAUUGAUAUUCACUUGUUGUGCAUGUACAGUACAGGUCAAAAGUUUGGAAACAUUACUAUUUUUAAUGUUUUUGA